rfam:Triticum urartu cultivar G1812 contig506801, whole genome shotgun sequence.
CCGCUCGACGAUGACGACAUGGUCUCCUACAUCCUCGCCGGACUCGACUUCGACUACAUCUCCUUCGUCUCGUCCAUCUAUGCUGCGAGGACUGAGCCCAUCAAGGUAGCUGAACUUUAUUCUCAGCUGAUUGGUUUUGAAA